CCAGCUGAGUGGAAGGUCAACCAGUCCAACUUCUCAUGUUUCAGAAGAGGAAAGCAAGGUCUGGAGAGGGAACGUGGCUUGCCCAAGAUAUGUUUCAAACUUUGAUGAAAAGCAGGGAAGUUUGGGAAGAAAAUCCAAGACUUCUCUGGAGAGAGAUACCAGCCUGGAAGACAACGGAGCUGUCAUUCUGUUAAAAAAUUAAGAGAAGUACGCAGAACCUGCCUUUUUCUAAAUGAGAAGCUUUGGAAGCGACUGGACACUUUUGGCCAUUGCAGUCCACAGAAGGUUACCUGGAGACUUUGGCAAGAGCCACAGCAGUUCCUAAAAGGAAAAGAAACCUCAAAGGAGAAUGUUAAUCUCCCCGAUCAGCUCCAGCUCUCCCUGGAAACAUCCUUUUCUAUGUAACAGCCUAAAUCAUCCUAAAGAGGACAUUCUCCAACAUUAGCAUACCUAACAAUCAACACGGAGAUUUCCAGGACCUGUUCCAGAAACACGGAUUCAGUAGGUUUAGGGUGGAAGUUUGGAAUCUGCCUUUUAACCAACUCCCUGCUAUGGACUGAAUUGUUUCACCCCAAAAUUCAUAUAUUGAAGCCCUCACCCCUAAUGUGAUGGCAUUUGAAGAUGGGGCCUUUGGGAGGUCAUUAUGUUUAGAUGAGGUCGUGAGGAAGGGAGCCCCAUGAUGGAUGGGAUUAGUGCCCUCAUAAGAAGACAUGCCAGAGAGCUCUCUCUACUCUCAAGUACCCAGGAAAGGCCAUAACAAGACACAGCCAGAAGACAGCUAUCUGCAAGCCAGGAAGCGCCCUCACCAAACAGACACGGACCCUGCUAGCACCUUGCUCUUGGGCAUUCAGCCUCCAGAAUUGGGAGACGAUCAAUUCCUGCUGUGAAGGUAUUUUAUUAAGGCAGCCAAAGCUGACUGAGAUACUUCCCCGAUCACUGUGAUGUCCAGUGCCGAGGGCCUAUGCUUUGAAAAUCAAUAUUCUAGUCUUAGGCCAAAACUCUCCUCCCUGCUUCCCCAGCCACUCCUUGAGCUUUCUUCUUCCUCAUGGCCCUCUCGGCCAUCUGGACAGGCUUCUUCCUGGAUACAAGUCACAUGAAUGUCACUGACCUGUGACUUUGUCUUUGUUUCCUGAGUGCAUCACACAGUACAUGGCCUACGGCAGGCAUUCAGAAAAUAUUGAUUUCAUGAAUGAAUAGGUGAAUGAAUGAGUGAGCAAAUGAAUGAAUUUAUAUCACAUAGAAUAAUUAACUUCCCUUUUAGUAUCUCCCUAAUCCUUCCAACUCUAACUUGAGGAAGCUAUGACUUGCUUUCAAGAUCAUUUUCCAGGCCUGGCGCGGUGGCUCACGCCUGUAAUCCCAGCACUUUGGGAGGCUGAGGCAGGUGGAUCACCUGAAGUCAGGAGUUCAAGACCAGCCUUGCCAACAUGGUGAAACCCUGUCUCUACUUAAAAUACAAAAAUUUGGCAGGCUUGGUGGCCGGCGCCUGUAAUCCCAGCUACUUGGGAGGCUGAGGCAGGAGAAUUGCUUGGACCCACAAGGCGGAGGUUGCAGUGAGCUGAGAUCACACCACUGCACUCCAGCCUGGGCAACAAGAGCAAAACUCUGUCUGAAAAAUGAAUAAAUAAAUAAAUAAUAGGAUUAUUUUGCAUCCAUUCUAUUGUUUUGUGGGAAUCUUUCACAGUCAUUGCCUGGGAAUCCAGUGAUGAAAAGUGGCCCACAAAUACAAUCUAAUGGAGGCCCUCAGGUUAUUCACUAAAGCUCAGAGAAGAUCAUUUUCCAAUCAGAGACAUCCACAAGUGGAAUGGUGCUAGAAUCUUCCCUCCCCUGCAGGAAAGCCCUGGUCAGCCAGGUCAGAUGUGGGCAGAUGGUUUGCUCUUCUCCACCGAGUACUGAGUGAAGCCUUGGGCUGGAAAUCCAGGUAGGGAGGUUAAGGACAAAUUUGGAAUUAAAACACAAUAAGCCCCUUCAUUCCUUCCCCAUUCACAUCCUCCAUUCUUAAGGCUGGGAAAAAAAAAAAAAAAAAAGACCCCUUACUUCCUCAUGCAAGACUGCCCCCAGGCUUAAUCAGAGCCUUAACUGCUGUCUUUGGCUGUGUUGUAAGCACAGUGACAAUGAUCAGGUUAGGUGUUUAGAACAGUAUGAUGUCAGUCGGGCUUGUGAUGAAAGAGUCGCUGACAGACAGUGCAAGCCAACACCAUGAGAACAGCUCAGGCUAUGAGGUCAUUCAGUCCAACAGGUAGGCAGGUUUGUUUUCUUAGCCCUGACAUUCGAUGCCCUGCCGGUUAUUGAAUAACCAGAAAUGAGGCGACUCCUACAAAUUCCUGGAUCUCCAUGGGGAUGGAGAAGGAGGGGCUGUGCUUCGUCUGCCAAACUGUGGGUUUGAUUAAGGGCACCGGAGGAGAAGCCAGAACUGGAAACCUGUCUCUAGGAAGAUGGGUAGAUGAAAGAAAAUGCAAGAAAGAUAUUCAGGGGCAAGUGGGAUCAUUUCUGCAGAGGUGAAAAAUGAUUCUGCAUCCCAUUUAAUCCAAUCAUGCCCUGCUCCUAGAGAGGAAAGUGAAACACCCUCAGACUGAACACGUGGUCAAACUCAGAUGAAUGAAGCAGCCAGUUCACAGCAAAUUUACUUUUCAAAAGACUGGGAAAGAAGGGAAUUGGGGGAACUUUUUUUCUGUUUGUUGAGGAGGGAGAUUAUUUAUUAACUUGUUUAUUUUACUACCCAAUAUAUACCACACAUAGGACCCCAUGUGCAAAGAUUUCACAGCUUUAAGAACAUGAAAUAUUUUAAUGAAAGACUGUAGUUAACAUUUCAAAAAUGUAAGUUCAA
rnacentral:lncRNA from 10 species